CAUUCGAUAGCUCAGCGGUAGAGCGGGGACUUAAAAUCCUGACGGCGCUGGAUAGAAUCCAGCUCAAAGGU
rnacentral:tRNA from 1 species